AGAGUUUGAUCCUGGCUCAGAGUGAACGCUGGCGGCGUGCUUAACACAUGCAAGUCGAACGGUAACAGAAGAAGCUUGCUUCUUGCUGACGAGUGGCGGACGGGUGAGUAAUGUAUAGAUAUGUGCCCCAUAGAUUAGGAUAGCCACUGGAAACGGUGAUUAAUACUAGAUACUCCUUACGAGGGAAAGCUUUUGCGCUAUGGGAUCGGUCUAUAUGGUAUCAGGUAGUUGGUGAGGUAAGAGCUCACCAAGCCAAUGACACCUAGCUGGUCUGAGAGGAUGAUCAGCCACACUGGAACUGAGACACGGUCCAGACUCCUACGGGAGGCAGCAGUGGGGAAUAUUGCACAAUGGGGGAAACCCUGAUGCAGCAACGCCGCGUGGAGGAUGACGCAUUUCGGUGUGUAAACUCCUUUUAUAUGGGAAGAUAAUGACGGUACCAUAUGAAUAAGCACCGGCUAACUCCGUGCCAGCAGCCGCGGCAAUACGGAGGGUGCAAGCGUUACUCGGAAUCACUGGGCGUAAAGCGCGCGCAGGCGGGUUUGUAAGUUGGAAGUGAAAUCCACUGGCUUAACCAGUGAACUGCUUCCAAACUACUAACCUAGAGUGUGGGAGGGGAAGAUGGAAUUAGUUGUGUAGGGGUAAAAUCCGUAGAGAUAACUAGGAAUACCAAAAGCGAAGGCGAUCUUCUGGAACACUACUGACGCUGAGGCGCGAAAGCAUGGGGAGCAAACAGGAUUAGAUACCCUGGUAGUCCAUGCCCUAAACGAUGAAUGUUAGUCGUUGGUAUGCUCGUCAUAUCAGUGAUGCACUUAACAGAUUAAACAUUCCGCCUGGGGAGUACGGUCGCAAGAUUAAAACUCAAAGGAAUAGACGGGGACCCGCACAAGUGGUGGAGCAUGUGGUUUAAUUCGAAAAUACGCGAAGAACCUUACCUAGCCUUGACAUUGAUUGAAUUCGAUAGAGAUAUUGAAGUGCCCUUUUGGGAACAUGAAAACAGGUGCUGCACGGCUGUCGUCAGCUCGUGUCGUGAGAUGUUGGGUUAAGUCCCGCAACGAGCGCAACCCUCGUGACUAGUUACUAACGGUUUGGCCGAGGACUCUAGUCAGACUGCCUUCGUAAGGAGGAGGAAGGUGAGGACGACGUCAAGUCAUCAUGGCCCUUACGGCUAGGGCGACACACGUGCUACAAUGGUUAGGACAAUGAGAGGCAAUACCGCGAGGUGGAGCAAAUCUAUAAACCUAAUCUCAGUUCGGAUUGUAGUCUGCAACUCGACUACAUGAAGCUGGAAUCACUAGUAAUCAUAGAUCAGCCAUGCUACGGUGAAUACGUUCCCGGGUCUUGUACUCACCGCCCGUCACACAUGGGAGUUGAUUUCACCCGAAGCGGGGAAGCC
rnacentral:rRNA from 1 species